rnacentral:rRNA from 1 species
GACGAACGCUGGCGGCGUGCUUAACACAUGCAAGUCGAGCGGAGCGGCGAACGGGUGAGUAACGCGUGAGUAACUGCCCCCCUCUCUGGGAUAACAGUUGGAAACGGCUGCUAAUACCGGAUAGUGGGGGAUGAGUCGGGGCCUAUCGGCUUGGUGGUGGGGUAGUGGCCUACCAAGGCGACGACGGGUAGCCGGCCUGAGCGGGCGACCGGCCACAAUGCGCUGAGAGACGGCGCAAAGUCCUACGGGGGGCAGCAGGGGGGAAUAUUGCACAACGGGGGAAACCCUGAUGAAGAAACGCGCGUGCGGGAUGACGGUCUUCGGGUUGGAAACCGCUUUCAGCCAUGACGCGGUACUGGCAGAAGAAGCACCGGCUAACUACGUGCCAGCAGCCGCGGUAAUAC